rnacentral:rRNA from 1 species
GUUGACCUCGGAUCAGGUAGGAAUACCCGCUGAACUUAAGCAUAUCAAUAAGCGGAGGAAAAGAAACCAACAGGGAUUGCCCUAGUAACGGCGAGUGAAGCGGCAACAGCUCAAAUUUGAAAUCUGG